AGGACGAACGCUGGCGGCGUGCUUAACACAUGCAAGUCGAGCGGUAAGGCCUUUCGGGGUACACGAGCGGCGAACGGGUGAGUAACACGUGGGUGAUCUGCCCUGCACUUCGGGAUAAGCCUGGGAAACUGGGUCUAAUACCGGAUAUGACCUCCUAUCGCAUGGUGGGUGGUGGAAAGAUUUAUCGGUGCAGGAUGGGCCCGCGGCCUAUCAGCUUGUUGGUGGGGUAAUGGCCUACCAAGGCGACGACGGGUAGCCGACCUGAGAGGGUGACCGGCCACACUGGGACUGAGACACGGCCCAGACUCCUACGGGAGGCAGCAGUGGGGAAUAUGCACAAUGGGCGAAAGCCUGAUGCAGCGACGCCGCGUGAGGAUGACGGCCUUCGGGUUGUAAACCUCUUUCAGCAGGACGAAGCGACAAGUGACGGUACCUGCAGAAGAAGCACCGGCUAACUACGUGCCAGCAGCCGAC
rnacentral:rRNA from 1 species